rnacentral:pre_miRNA from 1 species
UUUUGAUUGUUGCUCAGAAAGCCCUUUAUUUGAGCAGGCUUUCGAGCAAUAAUUAAAAC